rnacentral:lncRNA from 1 species
CACCAUAUCAUCCAUUGAUGAAUCCUCGACCACUUUCUUUCUUAUUUUCCAUAUAACUUUAACUAGGGGAAAAUAUUUUUAAAAAAAAUAAUUUUUAAGGUUUGAUUUUACUAUAAAAAAAAGUAAAAAAAAAAUAAAUAUAAUUAAAAUUAGUAAAAAAAUUAUAUAAUUUUAAAUUAUUUAGUGUUUAUGUAGAAGACUUAAAAAAGUGAAAUAAGUUUGAUGUAGAAUAUAAAAAUAUAUUUUCCCUC